UGCCAACCUAGCGAACGCUGCCUUCUUCACCUCCACUUUUCCCUUGACUACCUCGUUCCACCACCAAUCCCCCUGAUGUCUACCUGAAUAUCCCUUAGAAACCCCGAGCACGUCCCGUGCUACUCCCCUAACCAAGCUAGCUGUCGCUGACCACAUAGCGUCCGCUUCCCCAUAACUUCUCCAAGCUCCGCCCUCUUCUAACCUCCUUUCCAUCUCC
rnacentral:lncRNA from 1 species